UAUAAUAUAUGGAAUAUUGAUGUUUUGUAUAUAGUUCAUAUUUGUGAUAUUUUUCAUCAGAAGUUUUGCUGAUAAGAUGUUUUUAGAAUUUUAUUUUGUCUGAAUCUUUCUCUUUCUGUGGGCUUUUUUUUGUUAUUUUUCUUACACAGCCUUGCCCCAGUACAGAGUACACUAGUAAACUACCCACCCAUCUGUGUUCCGUGUCUUAGCUCUCCCGACCAGGACGGCCCUAGAUUAUUAUCCAAUCAGUGCAUUUUUAUGAAAAGAGAAAAUAAGACCGUGGUUUCAUCCAAGAGCUAUUGUAAAUUGGGAGGCCACACACGCACACACACACACACACACAUAGAAUCACACAUGGACACACACAUGAACACACACACAAAAUAAGUUAUGAACCAAAAGAAGCUUUAAAAACAGGGGAAUGAGGUCUUAGUAGGUCUGAGUGCACAAUGGCGUGCGUGGUCCUUUGUUUCGGGCCGCCUGUUGGCUCCGAGGUCACAGCGGCUCUGGCCUUGGUUGUUGUUGUCGUUGGUUGUUUCGGUGGCAUUCAAGUGGGAGUGUGGCAAUCACUGUCGGUGUUGCCAGAUUGGGCCAGGUUGCCAGAUUGGGCGGGAAAUCUGGCCCAAUCUGGCAACACUGAUCACUGUGUCGGUGAGACGUCUGAAUCGCCGCCAAUGUCUGCCGUCGUUUGGAGAGGUGUGCUUCUUGAGGGGGACUGUACCCUUUCCAUGUUUGCUUCCACGUCGUGCGCUGUGUGGAUGGUUGUGUGGGUGUGUGUGUGUGUGUGGGUGUGUCUGGGUGCUGCCGCCGCUGCCGGUGUUGACUGCGGUUCUGCGGCGCUCACACGACCAACCAAACGCAGACCAGUGGGGGAAGUGCGGGCGAGGCGAAAGGUUAGACGCCAUCCCCUGAACGCCUGGCCCCCGCCUGGUUCUUCCGCCAGUGCCCCGAGAGCUCCGUGGAAGACCCUCUUUUCACCGCAGACCGACGCCCUUGUGGAACUAAUUCACAACAAUGUCCCGCUCUUAUCUCACGUUGCCUUUGUCUUCAACCGCCAGCUCUGGCCUCUCUGCUCCUCUCCUCGCCCCCUCCGAGGAUUCCCAUUGGCUGUCGGCCCUCCGGGCGGUAUUUUGCCAUGUUCUCCGGUCGUCGGUCGGACAUGAAGUCGGAGAAACUUCUGACUGCGCUGAAAGGCUGCAGCGGGAUGUGGAGGGGGAAUGCGGUGUUUCGGCGCGUGUGUGUGUGUGUGUGAUUGCUAAUCCUAUUAUUUUCCUUCCUAUCACAUGGGGUGUGGCGGUGGUCAGGGACAGGGUGUUCAGCCCCGACCUCGCUCAGGUCGGACAUUCCAGCUCUCGGCUAGAGUCGCUGGCUGCCCUCCUGGUGCCCUGACAGAGACACACACACACACACACACACACACACACACACAAGCGCACGCACGCGCAAACAUCACGGCUUGAUUCUUUCAUUGUGUAGUCGUUGCGAUGCGUUGGUUCCACCCCCUGCUCAACCACGUCCAAGCCUUCCUCUUAGUCGUCCAAAUAGUACGGUUCAGCCUUCCGCCCCCUCAGAGUGCAAACACAGGACCAGAGUUGGGUUGGGUUUGAACGGGCGGGAUCAGUUUGCGUCGCCGGGUACGGAGUCUGUGUGAACACGGCUGCCCUCCCCUCAGCCUACAGCGUUAUAACCAGUGCCUUCUCCCAAACCCAGGGCCACAGAGAGCCAGGCAGACGUACGCCACACAUUGCUCCCAUCACACCAACACUCGACACACAGGCCUCCGUCCCCCCCCCACACACACACACUCAGACGCUCUUAUUGUGAAGGUUUACACCACGGUUUCUCGUGCUAUUCAGCUGUCCUCUUUUCAGGUUUCCUCUUCUGCUACUAGUCAGUGGGAGCCCUGUAUAGAGGGGGGUCUCCCCCAAAAAGUAAAAUGGUUGACCGCUCAGCUCGACCUUUGACCUAUCUUUGUUAUGUUGUGACCGUGUACACGCGCGCAUAUGCAAUUUUUAUUUCAGAGGGUGCCCACGUUUUUUUUUUUUGUCGUUGCAAAUACUAGAUAUCUUUAUUUAUUUCAUAGCAAAGAGUAGUACAGGAGAAGUAUGAAUUUCAAGCCAACAAUCAAACCGGUGUAGAUAUUGAGUCAAUUCAAAUUCUAGUUUGGUUAGUGUAUAAAUGGAGUAUAGUAUUCGAUUGAAAUGUGCUGGUUAGUGAGUAGUAUUCAGAGUAGUAGUAGUGGUAGGAGUAGUGGUAUUGUUUUUGUGUUUUGGCCAGAGUCUACCUCAGAACGUUAAGGAGGAAUCGGUGCAGAGAGCAUAAAUAAUCCCCCUUUAAGAAAUAUAUUUUAUUUUUGAACCUGAUCGAUUCUUCAUUAAAAUGCAACACCAAAUCUCCUUGAUCCUCCCCUUCCUCCAUUCAACACCCACGGCCAAACUCCCUUCCCCUGAUGCUUCCUUCCUACUCUUCAUCAAGAGCUUAUCUAGUCCUGGCAGAGAAGUGGAUACUACAACGGUGUGUGUGCAUGUGCGUGUGUGUGUGUGUGUGUGUGUGUGUACGUGUGUGUACACGCGUGCUCGCGUUUGUGCUCGCGUGCAACACCAUGACCCUUUGACCCUCCUCUUCCUCCCCAUUAUCGACAUCAUUGUGGUCCAAAGACAGCUUUUUCGGAAGAAGUAAAACGAUGCAGUUUUCAAGCACAACCCUCGGUGAGUCUGAGGUCUGUCCCUCUGCGUAGAUUAAGAGCUGAUUCGAUGCCGUUACUCAGACAGGAGUGCAGUGAUGUGACAGGUGACCUGUCCUCUCAGAGCAGCACAUCUUCCAAACAGCUUCUUCCCCUGCCCUGUGGCGCCAGAGAUGCUAUGAAACGUUGAACUUGGCUCCAACCCGGUGUGUUUUUGUGUGUGUGACAUUUCGGCCCAUGGAGCUGAUUCCCGGCCACACGCGUCUUCUUGAUUGUACGUAUCGAGCUGUUGUUGUUGUUGUUGUUGUCGUUUCUUUCGGGGGACAGCGGUGGCGGCGGAGGUUGGAGUUGACGUCCGUCGGGAUUAGGAACGAAAACCAAAUUCUGUUCUUGUGAUGCAUAGCUGUGGUUAGCGGGGUCUAGACGCGCGAGGGAGGAUGCACGGCUCGUCCAGAGACGCUGUUGGGGCGCUGCCAUUGAGACACAAACGUCUUCCCGGUCUCGUGGCUCAAACAGAGCUCUCAGCUGAUAUCCUGGCAAGAAACGUCUCUCUCUCUCUCUCUCAAACUCUCUCUCUCUGUGGUUGGCUCCGUCUCUGUCUCCCUCUCUGUCGUUGGCUCUGCCCGUCAGUUGCGGUUACCUUAGGCCUUCUUCUGUGUUUCUUUGUUUAUGGUUGUUUGUCCACAUUUUUCUACUGUGAAUAUCAAGAGAUGAGCUUAUAUAUUUUGAAUGUUUUUCUUGUUAUUCUUAGGCUUAGCAGUACAUGGACAUCUCUUUAAGGGCCAGUCAAAUGUUUAAAAGAGGACCUCUCCCACCACACACGCACACAAAAACACACACCUUCACCCCGGCUCACCUUGGCAGGGGACUCGGACAAUCCUGUGUGCCAUAAGAAGUUAGGAACAGACGUGAACUCUAGAUUGUAACCUUGGUCUCAGGCAGCCUGAUGCUUUGCGGUUGGAGGAGGAAGCGAUACCUACCUUUCCAUCCACACAGACCUCGCUCUCAGCACCUAAACAGACGCAAACAACGGUGUGAGAACCAAGAAAACCAACACACUUUAUCUAUUCUUCCCCCAUCGCAAAAUAAUUAAAAGAAUCAGCAGUACUUCCUGGGAUCCUUCGGGUUUGAUGUGGUUUGGGCUGCCCUCUAGUGGCUGGGUGGGAGUCUCGCAGGAAAGGAGUAGCAACGCAAACAGGGGCCUCUUACCCAUAGUGCCUUGCUCAGACUGACCACCGUCCCAGGCGGUCCCCAUGUAGCCCGAGAAACCGUCACUCACUGGCACGUCUCUGCUACACACUGGAGAUAAUCACACUUCGUCCACAAACACAGAUUAAGAUACAUGCAAACGCCGGUGUACCGCUGGUCUGUGGUCCUUUGAUGGGCUCCUUCUGUCGUCGUAGAUAGAAGUAGACAAUCAGGCGUCUUGGCUGGGUUAUACUGUUAAUUGGGAUGUAUACAUAUGAUUUGUUUGGUUUAGCUCAAUGUCUCUGCUCUGCUUGUGCUGAGUUGCUUUGUGCAUGAAAAACUAAACCAAUUUUGAGCUAAUUUUUUUCGAUCUAUUUUUUUUAACAGCGACGCCCCAAAGCACAUGUGAAAAUGUAUGAUUAUUUACAACUAAGGGAGUGCAUGGACGCUUCGGACACGCAGUUCCAUUUGAAACGCGUUUGUUUGUCCAUUCUUGGUUUUUGUUUAUUUAAAAGAAAGAAAAAGCCAAUCUCCUGAUUGAUAAGCUCGAACUGUAAAUAGAAGCAGCAGAUCUAUUUCCCCCGUUGAAUAAUGAAAGCACUUGGUUGGUUUAGGAAAGUUUAGGCUCGUUUUGUUGAACUCUGCCCCCAGUGGACAGAGGACGCUAAGUCAUGCAGUGCAGGGUGAGAACAAAGCGUUGUACGUAUCGUUGUAUUGUUUUUAAAGAAAAAGUAUUACAUUUUAGAGAUGUUUUCUUUUCUUUUUUUGCCAAAAUAGGGUGGGCAAAUUCAAUUACUUUUUCUGACUGUAAACUUUUACUACUCUUGUACAUUACAAAUUUAACAUUGUUAUUAAUGUGUAUAUAACUUUUUUCUAAAUAAAAUUAAAAAAUAUUUUUUUUCUACUCACCACACCACCUGAGGUCACCACCUAACCCCAUACCGAACUUUAUUUUCUCUUUUUUUUUCUUUCAUAAUUUAUUUUGGUUUUCGUUUUUUGUUUUCUAUGUGAACAACUGGACAAGACCACUGCACGUUUCUUAAGAGAGAAUACGGUGAGGAGAGUUUUGAAUAAGCUAAUGAGAUAAAUUGGCUUGGACCGUAUGUAUCCCUGUCUAAACCCAGCGGUGGGCUGAUUGAACAGUGCUGCCCGAUCCCUUUUGUGAUGGCGCGAAUGAAGAUGUAUAAAAAAAACUUUCCGCUACUUUUGUACCGUGUAACUAAUGAUGUCCGUCUGUCGAUUCUAUGUUUUUAUUUUUAUUUUUUUUGCUGUUGGAUUGUUGACGAAUGAAACACACACACACACACACACAACACACAACUCGCACACACAGACACACACACGCACCACUGUUUAAAAAGAUAUCAAUCCAAAUAUUGAACAUACCCAUAUGGUUAAAGACGCAGGGAUGUCUAAGUGUGUUGUUGAUUUUGGUUAUAGAAAUUAUUGUGUGUCAAUCAAAUUCUAAAAGCAAAUGGCGUUUACUGACAUGUACCAGUAUUGACAAGUCAAUUUAGGGGUCGUAGAGAAAGUGUGAUUUAGGGGGAGGGGACGGAUGGACUCCUUUGGCUCAGGAAGAAGGCAUCACCAUGGUGAUGUUUGACCUCUUCUAGAUAUGACCCGCCAUGGUUUCAUGGAGAGCCAUUUGGAUAGUGAAGGAACCGAAUCAAAAUGUUUUCUCUAGCAACACCCUUUCUCUAGAGUCCAGUGGUCGACUCCAGUAUGCCUAACAACCUGUUUUAGUGUCUAUCCAUUCGCAUGUAUGCUGUUGGUUUAUUUUGUUUUUGGUUCAGUUGUGUCUGUGCAAUGUGUCCUUUUGUUGAUCUCUAUACAAUGGCUUGCUUCUGUGUUACCUGCACACCAUCUCUCUCUCUCUCUCUCUCUCUCUCUCUCUCUCUCUCUCUCUCUCUCUCUCUCCCCACAGAAUGCUGCGUGUAGUCUUUUUUUUCUUUUCGGCAGGAUACCUCUUUUUAGUAAGCGUAAUGACAUUUAAUGUUAUUGAGUAUGCUGAUGUAUUGAGUGGGAUAUGUUUUACAUGUGUACUGUUCUAGGAACCCCAACAGGCCUGUGUAUGUAUGUGCAGUUUGUCCAAAGGCCCCGGCUUCCCUGACCCCAGCCCCAGCCCCACAUCCAUCACACUGGAUCCAAAUGUGCCAUUAUCUUUAUGCAUUGCAAAUCUCGCCAUUUACACACUAACACACACACACACACACAUCAAACAGACGGACAUGUCUAAAUAUACACACACACACACUUUUGUUACAUCAACCACAACACAUUAACAGAAAUACAUAUUGUACAGGAUCAAACAUGUGCCAUGACUAAAUAAAACGCUUGACAAUUUAUUUUUUCUAUGUUUUCAAAAGGAGAGCCAAGCGGUGUGACAUGUACAGAAAAACGUUGGAAUGGUAUGAAAAUAAAAAAUCUUGCUGUGUGUAAAUUAUUCAACAAUUAACUGUUUAUAUUAAAAUUAUGAAUAAAAUUAUUGCAGAAUAUUUGUCUUUGUAAAAAUCUGUCAUUGUUUAUUCGUGUCAAGGAACAAAACACCAAUUCGGUUUGGAUGGAAGGCAUUUAUUCAAUGCCUAAACAUGAAUGAAAGUGGUAAAAACGUUGCCUGAAGAGAACAGAUAGGAAACAUGAAUUGUCUCCUUCAAUGAGCAGACACACUGCAUUGUUCUGUUUGAC
ensembl:lncRNA